UACGGAGGGUGCAAGCGUUAAUCGGAAUUACUGGGCGUAAAGCGCGCGUAGGCGGUUUGGUAAGUGUGAUGUGAAAGCCCAGGGCUUAACCUUGGAACUGCAUCACAUACUGCCAGGCUAGAGUACGGUAGAGGGGGGUAGAAUUCCACGUGUAGCGGUGAGAUGCGUAGAGAUGUGGAGGAAUACCAGUGGCGAAGGCGGCCCCCUGGAUCGAUGCUGACGCUGAGGUGCGAAAGCAUGGGGAGCAAACAGG
rnacentral:rRNA from 1 species